rnacentral:rRNA from 1 species
ACGCUAGCUACAGGCUUAACACAUGCAAGUCGAGGGGAAACGGCAUUAAGUGCUUGCACUUUUUGGACGUCGACCGGCGCACGGGUGAGUAACGCGUAUCCAACCUUCCCAUGACUAAGGGAUAACCUGCCGAAAGGCAGACUAAUACCUUAUGGUCUUCACUGACGGCAUCAGAUGUGAAGUAAAGAUUUAUCGGUUAUGGAUGGGGAUGCGUCUGAUUAGCUUGUUGGCGGGGUAACGGCCCACCAAGGCAACGAUCAGUAGGGGUUCUGAGAGGAAGGUCCCCCACAUUGGAACUGAGACACGGUCCAAACUCCUACGGGAGGCAGCAGUGAGGAAUAUUGGUCAAUGGGCGAGAGCCUGAACCAGCCAAGUAGCGUGCAGGAUGACGGCCCUAUGGGUUGUAAACUGCUUUUGUAUGGGGAUAAAGUCAGUCACGUGUGAUUGUUUGCAGGUACCAUACGAAUAAGGACCGGCUAAUUCCGUGCCAGCAGCCGCGGUAAUACGGAAGGUCCGGGCGUUAUCCGGAUUUAUUGGGUUUAAAGGGAGCGUAGGCUGGAGAUUAAGUGUGUUGUGAAAUGUAGACGCUCAACGUCUGACUUGCAGCGCAUACUGGUUUCCUUGAGUACGCACAACGUUGGCGGAAUUCGUCGUGUAGCGGUGAAAUGCUUAGAUAUGACGAAGAACUCCGAUUGCGAAGGCAGCUGACGGGAGCGCAACUGACGCUGAAGCUCGAAGGUGCGGGUAUCGAACAGGAUUAGAUACCCUGGUAGUCCGCACAGUAAACGAUGGAUGCCCGCUGUUGGUACCUGGUAUCAGCGGCUAAGCGAAAGCAUUAAGCAUCCCACCUGGGGAGUACGCCGGCAACGGUGAAACUCAAAGGAAUUGACGGGGGCCCGCACAAGCGG